GCCAGUAUGGCGAAAUGGUUUAAGCACUGAACUACGAUUCUGGAGACCAGGAUUCAAUUCCCUGCUCAGCCA